rnacentral:rRNA from 1 species
UACGGAGGGUGCGAGCGUUGUCCGGAAUCACUGGGCGUAAAGGGCUCGUAGGCGGCCAACUAAGUCAGACGUGAAAUCCCUCGGCUUAACCGGGGAACUGCGUCUGAUACUGGAUGGCUUGAGUUCGGGAGAGGGAUGCGGAAUUCCAGGUGUAGCGGUGAAAUGCGUAGAUAUCUGGAGGAACACCGGUGGCGAAGGCGGCAUCCUGGACCGACACUGACACUGAGGAGCGAAAGCCAGGGGAGCAAACGGG